CUGUUUCCUGUGACUGUGAGUAGCAGGGAGUUUAGGUGCCUGUUUCCUGUGACUGUGAGUAGCAGGGAGUUUAGGUCCCUGUUUCCUGUGACUGUAGCAGGGAGUUUAGAUCCCUGUUUCCUAUGACUGUGACUGUAGCAGUGAGUUUAGGUCCCUGUCUCCUGUGACUGUGACUGUAGCAGUGAGUUUAGGUGCCUGUCUCCUGUGACUGUAGCAGGGAGUUUAGGUCCCUGUCUCCUGUUACUGUGACUGUAGCAGG